UACGUAGGGUGCGAGCGUUGACCGGAAUUAUUGGGCGUAAAGGGCUCGUAGGCGGUUUGUCGCGUCGGGAGUGAAAAUCCAGGGCUUAACUCUGGACUGGCUUCCGAUACGGGCAGACUAGAGGUAUGCAGGGGAGAACGGAAUUCCUGGUGUAGCGGUGAAAUGCGCAGAUAUCAGGAGGAACACCGGUGGCGAAGGCGGUUCUCUGGGCAUUACCUGACGCUGAGGAGCGAAAGUGUGGGGAGCGAACAGG
rnacentral:rRNA from 1 species